AGCGAACGCUGGCGGCAGGCCUAACACAUGCAAGUCGAACGAAGCCUUCGGGCUUAGUGGCGGACGGGUGAGUGACACGUGGGAACGUACCUUUUGGUUCGGAACAACUCAGGGAAACUUGAGCUAAUACCGGAUGAGCCCUUAGGGGGAAAGAUUUAUCGCCGAAAGAGCGGCCCGCGUUAGAUUAGCUGGUUGGUGAGGUAAAGGCUCACCAAGGCUACGAUCUAUAGCUGGUCUGAGAGGAUGAUCAGCCACACUGGGACUGAGACACGGCCCAGACUCCUACGGGAGGCAGCAGUGGGGAAUCUUGCGCAAUGGGCGAAAGCCUGACGCAGCCAUGCCGCGUGAAUGAUGAAGGUCUUAGGAUUGUAAAAUUCUUUUACCAGGGACGAUAAUGACGGUACCUGGAGAAAAAGCCCCGGCUAACUUCGUGCCAGCCGCCGCCGUAAAAC
rnacentral:rRNA from 1 species